rnacentral:rRNA from 1 species
UACGGGGGGGGCAAGCGUUGUUCGGAAUUACUGGGCGUAAAGGGUUCGUAGGUGGCCUACUAAGUCAUACGUGAAAUCCCUCAGCUUAACUGGGGAACUGCGUCUGAGACUGGAAGGCUUGUGUGCAGGAGAGGAACGCGGAAUUCCAGGUGUAGCGGUGAAAUGCGUAGAUAUCUGGAGGAACACCGGUGGCGAAGGCGGCGUUCUGGACUGCAACUGACACUGAGGAACGAAAGCCAGGGGAGCAAACGGG